rnacentral:rRNA from 1 species
UACGAAGGUCCCAAGCGUUGUUCGGAAUCACUGGGCGUAAAGGGCGCGUAGGCGGCGUGGUAAGUCAGAUGUGAAAUCCCGGGGCUCAACCCCGGAACUGCAUCCGAUACUGCCAUGCUUGAGGGCUGGAGAGGUAGCUGGAAUUCUCGGUGUAGCAGUGAAAUGCGUGGAUAUCGAGAGGAACACUCGUGGCGAAGGCGAGCUACUGGACAACAACUGACGCUGAGGCGCGAAGGCCAGGGGAGCAAACGGG